rnacentral:rRNA from 1 species
UACGGAGGGAGCUAGCGUUGUUCGGAAAUACUGGGCGUAAAGCGCACGUAGGCGGCGCAGCAAGUCAGGAGUGAAAUCCCGGGGCUCAACCCCGGAACUGCCUCUGAAACUGCAGUGCUAGAAUCUUGGAGAGGCGAGUGGAAUUCCGAGUGUAGAGGUGAAAUUCGUAGAUAUUCGGAAGAACACCAGUGGCGAAGGCGACUCGCUGGACAAGUAUUGACGCUGAGGUGCGAAAGCGUGGGGAGCAAACAGG